AACGCACAUUGCGCCCCCUGGUAUUCCGGGGGGCAUGCCUGUCCGAGCGUCAUUACAACCCUCAAGCUCAGCUUGGUGUUGGGCCCCGCCGCCCCGGCGGGCCCUAAAGUCAGUGGCGGUGCCGUCCGGCUCCGAGCGUAGUAAUUCUUCUCGCUCUGGAGGUCCGGUCGUGUGCUUGCCAGCAACCCCCAAUUUUUUUCAGGUUGACCUCGGAUCAGGUAGGGAUACCCGCUGAACUUAA
rnacentral:misc_RNA from 1 species